rnacentral:rRNA from 1 species
UCAGGUUGAUCCUGCCGGACCUGACUGCUAUCUGAUUGGUACUAAGCCAUGCGAGUCGUUGUACAAUACAAGGCGGACUGCUCAGUAACACGUAGUUAACUUAACCUAUGGAUGGGGAUAACCUCGGGAAACUGAGAAUAAUACCCAAUGGACCACAGUGCCUGGAAUGGCCUGUGGUUGAAAUGAUUUAUCGCCGUAGGAUAGGACUGCGGCCUAUCAGCUUGUUGGUGAGGUAAUGGCCCACCAAGGCUAUAACAGGUACGGGCUCUGAGAGGGGGGGCCCGGAGAUGGGUACUGAGACACGGACCCAGGCCCUAUGGGGCGCAGCAGGCGAGAAACCUUUGCAAUGUGCGAAAGCACGACAAGGUUAAUCCGAGUGUCUCCUGCUAAAGGAGUCUUUUGUCAGUUGUAGAAUCACUGGUGAAUAAGGGGUGGGCAAGUUCUGGUGUCAGCCGCCGCGGUAAAAACCAGCACCUCGAGUGGUCAGGAGGUUUAUUGGGCCUAAAGCAUCCGUAGCCGGUUGCAUAAGUUUUCGGUUAAAUCUAUGCGCUUAAC